AAUCAACGUUGGCGGCGCGCCUAACACAUGCAAGUCGAACGAGAAAGUGGAGCAAUCCAUGAGUACAGUGGCGUACGGGUGAGUAACACGUGGGUAAUCUGCCUGUUAGUGGGGAAUAACCCUGGGAAACCGGGGCUAAUACCGCAUAAGUUCGCAAGAAGAAAGUCGCAAGACGCUGACAGAGGAGCCCGCGGCCGAUUAGCUAGUUGGCAGGGUAAAAGCCUACCAAGGCAACGAUCGGUAGCCGGCCUGAGAGGGCACACGGCCACACUGGCACUGAAACACGGGCCAGACUCCUACGGGAGGCAGCAGUGGGGAAUCUUGCACAAUGGGGGAAACCCUGAUGCAGCGACGCCGCGUGAGUGAUGAAGCCCUUCGGGGUGUAAAGCUCUUUCGACGGGAACGAUUAUGACGGUACCCGGAGAAGAAGCUGCGGCUAACUACGUG
rnacentral:rRNA from 1 species